rnacentral:rRNA from 1 species
CCUACGGGAGACAGCAGUGGGGGAUAUUGCACAAUGGGGGAAACCCUGAUGCAGCGACGCCGCGUGGGUGAAGAAGCGCCUCGGCGCGUAAAGCCCUGUCAGCAGGGAAGAAAAUGACGGUACCUGAAGAAGAAGCCCCGGCUAACUACGUGCCAGCAGCCGCGGUAAUACGUAGGGGGCAAGCGUUAUCCGGAUUUAAGGGGUGUAAAGGGGGCGCAGACGGCGAUGCAAGCCAGGAGUGAAAGCCCGGGGCCCAACCCCGGGACUGCUCUUGGAACUGCGUGGCUAGAGUGCAGGAGGGGCAGGCGGAAUUCCUGGUGUAGGGGUGAAAUGCGUAGAUAUCAGGAGGAACACCGGUGGCGAAGGCGGCCUGCUGGACUGCAACUGACGUUGAGGCCCGAAAGCGUGGGGAGCAAACAGGAUUAGAUACCCUUGUAGUC